rnacentral:rRNA from 1 species
GGGCUUGAUAUCCUAAGAACCUUUUAGAGAUAAGAGGGUGCUAGCUUGCUAGAACUUAGAGACAGGUGCUGCACGGCUGUCGUCAGCUCGUGUCGUGAGAUGUUGGGUUAAGUCCCGCAACGAGCGCAACCCACGUAUUUAGUUGCUAACGGUUCGGCCGAGCACUCUAAAUAGACUGCCUUCGUAAGGAGGAGGAAGGUGUGGACGACGUCAAGUCAUCAUGGCCCUUAUGCCCAGGGCGACACACGUGCUACAAUGGCAUAUACAAUGAGACGCAAUACCGCGAGGUGGAGCAAAUCUAUAAAAUAUGUCCCAGUUCGGAUUGUUCUCUGCAACUCGAGAGCAUGAAGCCGGAAUCGCUAGUAAUCGUAGAUCAGCCAUGCUACGGUGAAUACGUUCCCGGGUCUUGUACUCACCGCCCGUCACACCAUGGGAG